rnacentral:lncRNA from 1 species
AUCAGACCAUUUUCAUACACAGAUAUAAGGAUUGUUAGCAUGAUUCGUCUAGAUAAAAAGUUGCAGCCCCGGAGUAUAACACAACUAAGCUCUUGUUCACUGCAAUUAGAACAACUACAACAUAUUCAUAUUCUACGUGCUUCAAAGUUGUGACACAAGAUGAGAAGGUCACAAUAAAACAAAGAAUAAAUUAUUGUGAAGAAGCUAGGAUCACUCCCUACAAUUAUAUACCUGCAAAAAAAUUUUUUUUUUACAGAAUUUGUUGAUACAGUUCUUAUUUUUAAUAUUAUAGGAAGUAAAAAAGUAUUUAGAAAAAAUAAAAUGAACAUAGACAGUUAUUGUGUAGAAAAUAUUGGCAUUGAUUGGUAACACUGCUUAAUCGUAGAAAAAUAAUUAAGUUGCUGAAAAUUUAAAAUCUGCUGAACAAAAAUACAGAAUAAUUUUCUAAACAAUGUGAUCUUAAAAAAAAGUUUUUCAAACAAUUGGAUAAACUUUAUGGAAUACUGAAGUAUAAAAAAAUCAAAUUGUGAUACAUUGUUUAAUCUAUUGAAGUAAUAAAUAUAAAGAAUUUAAUAUAUUAUUAUAAUAUAAAUACCAAUUAAAAAAGGAUGUGUUAUUUCACUUUAAAAAAAAAAGAAAAGGGUGGUCAAAUAAAUAUCUAUCUGAGGCAGGGAAAGAAAUUCUACUUAAAACAAUAGCAUCUGCUAUUCCGGUUUAUCCAAUGAAUGUUUUCAAGCUUCCUAAAGGAGUAUGUGAAGAAAUAGAGAAACUAUUUGCUGAAUAUUGGUGGAGUAAGGGAACGGGGAGACGGUCGAUGCACUGGAUGAGUUGGAAGAGAGUGAGUGUUCCAAAGAAAGAAGGUGGGCUAGGUUUCCGUGAUAUUGAGAAUUUUAACUUGGCUUUACUUGCCAAACAAGUAUGGAGGAUUGGCCAAACACCAACAAGUCUACUUGCAAGAGUUCUGCGUGGUCGAUAUCAUCAGGAUACAUCUAUUCUCAAUGCAAGGGUUGGAAAUAAACCCUCAUUUAUAUGGAGAUCGCUAAUGGAAGGAAAGGAACUCCUUAAAUCAGGAUUGAGGGUUCAAAUUGGUAAUGGUGAAGAGACUCUAAUCUGGAGGGACGCCUGGCUACCCACUCAUCCACCUAGAGCUCCAAGAGGCAUUGAUAAUAUAGUAAAUUACUAUCACACAGUUCAUUCACUAUUUCGCCUGGGUACAAGACAAUGGAAUGUCGAAUUAUUAGAGCGAAUUAUGGUACCAGAGGAUGUGGAGUUAGUAAAACACAUUGUGUUAAGCCAAUAUGGAGGACAAGAUUUGCUGGGUUGGAACUAAACUGAAGAUGGUAUGUAUACGGUUAAGUCAGGUUACUGGUUGAGCAUGCAUAGCCAAGAUCAACAAGUUUUACCACCAAGAGGAUCAACUGGAAUUAAAGCUGCUCUAUGGAAGUUAAAUACUGCUCCGAAACUCAAAACAUUUUUUAUGGAGAAUUCUAUCAGAGGCAAUGCCUGUGGGAUCAAUCCUAAAACGAAGACGUGUCUCUCAAGAUAGUGUGUGUUAGAUGAAGAUAUGGAACAUCUCUUCUUCAAAUGCCCGUAUACUCAAGCACUUUGGAGAGGGGCAAAUCUACCAGACCGUACGUUUACUGAUAAUAGUAUCAGUUUUGAAGAGAAGUUAAAGGCUAUUGUAUCCUCGAUCAAUAAUAAGGUGCUUAACCCUAUAGAUAGGCAACAGCCUUUGUGGAUCCUCUGGCGCAUCUGUAAAAGCAGAAACCUUUUAGUUUAUGGACGGAAACAGACUGAUUGGAAAGUAGACCUCAAACAAGCUCAACAUGAAGCACGUGAAUGGACUCAGGUGUUGUAUUCAACUGAAAGCAACAGCAAUACAACCCAGAGGCUAAGUGGGAGACACAAACAAUCAAUGUGGGAGAGACCUCCUUGUGAUUAUGUGAAGAUUAAUUAUGAUGGGAGUAGGAGACAAAAUAUGUCAACAGGAGGGUGGAUAUUCAGAGAUGCUCAAGGAUUUUUCCUAGGAGGAGGCCAGGGUAAACAAUCAGUUAAUGGAGAUGGAAGUCUGGAGACAGAAUUACAAGCUCUUCUUAUGGCAAUGCAACAUACGUGGACAAAAGGUUACCGUAAAGUUAUUUUUGAAGGUGACAACAAACAGGUUCAGGAGCUACUAACAACGUCCAAGAGGAAUUUCCACAUGCAUAAUUGGAUUCUGGAAAUCAAAGGGUGGAAGUAGAAAUUUGAAGAUGCAGAAUUUAGAUGGAUUCCAAGGGAAGAUAAUAAAGCUGCAGAUCAUUUAGCUAAACAAUUUCAUAAUUCUCAAGUUUCUUUCAACUCUAUAUUCUAUGUACCUGUAUCAAUAACUCAAAUCCUCCAUGAGGAUAUUUCUUCGUCAUUAUAAUAAAGUUGCAAGUUGGAAAAAAAAAAAAAAAAAAAAAGAAAAGAAGAAGGAUUUGUUAUUUUGUUCAGAAACUCGCGGCGCGAUGGAGAAAGCAACCGCAGGGGAGGAAGAAUUUGCAGGUACGAAUCCAAGUCGAUAAAUAUAUAUAAGGAUGUGUGUAGAUAAAUGAUUUAGUAGCGAUCCCUAAUUUUCUGAUCACCAGAAAUGAUUAGUUAUUACCUGGAGAAUGUAAGUUUCGGAUUGGAGAUUGGGCCCGAGGGUCACUAUGUCCCGGCAUUAAGUGGCCAUGAGUAUAAAGGAACUACUCCUCCGCGCACAAUGGACGAAGAGUAUGACCUCAUGGCUAAACAAGUCACGGAGACUCAGG